ACCCUGGUUAAAUAAAGGUGUUCUCAACUAGCCUACCUGGUUAAAUAAAGGUGUUCUCAACUAGCCUACCUGGUUAAAUAAAGGUGUUCUCAACUAGCCUACCUGGUUAAAUAAAGGUGUUCUCAACUGGCCUACCUGGUUAAAUAAAGGUGUUCUCAACUAGCCUACCUGGUUAAAUAAAGGUGUUCUCAACUAGCCUACCUGGUUAAAUAAAGGUGUUCUCAACUAGCCUACCUGGUUAAAUAAAGGUGUUCUCAACUAGCCUACCUGGUUAAAUAAAGGUGUUCUAAACUAGCCUACCUGGUUAAAUAAAGGUGUUCUCAACUAGCCUACCUGGUUAAAUAAAGGUGUUCUCAACUAGUCUACCUGGUUAAAUAAAGGUGUUCUCAACUAGUCUACCUGGUUAAAUAAAGGUGAAAUAAAAAUACAUUUAAAACAUUUGUCCACAACUGUUGCUUACGAAGUAUGGGAUGAAUAAAAUUAUAUAUGAUUUGCUGCUCUCUGAAAGGUGAUCGCAUCAGCUGAGGCCCAGGUGUGUAAAGGGUCUACUAAUCAACAGCUGAGGCCCAGGUGUGUAAAGGGUUUACUAAUCAACAGCUGAGGCCCAGGUAUGUAAAGGGUUUACUAAUCAACAGCUGAGGCCCAGGUGUGUAAAGGGUUUACUAAUCAACAGCUGAGGCCCAGGUGUGUAAAGGGUCUACUAAUCAACAGCUGAGGCCCAGGUGUGUAAAGGGUCUACUAAUCAACAGCUGAGGCCCAGGUGUGUAAAGGGUUUACUAAUCAACAGCUGAGGCCCAGGUGUGUAAAGGGUUUACUAAUCAACAGCUGAGGCCCAGGUGUGUAAAGGGUUUACUAAUCAACAGCUGAGGCCCAGGUGUGUAAAGGGUUUACUAAUCAACAGCUGAGGCCCAGGUGUGUAAAGGGUUUACUAAUCAACAGCUGAGGCCCAGGUGUGUAAAGGGUUUACUAAUCAACAGCUGAGGCCCAGGUGUGUAAAGGGUUUACUAAUCAACAGCUGAGGCCCAGGUGUGUAAAGGGUUUACUAAUCAACAGCUGAGGCCCAGGUGUGUAAAGGGUUUACUAAUCAACAGCUGAGGCCCAGGUGUGUAAAGGGUUUACUAAUCAACAGCUGAGGCCCAGGUUUGUAAAGGGUCUACUAAUCAACAGCUGAGGCCCAGGUGUGUAAAGGGUCUACUAAUCAACAGCUGAGGCCCAGGUGUGUAAAGGGUUUACUAAUCAACAGCUGAGGCCCAGGUGUGUAAAGGGUUU